rnacentral:SRP_RNA from 3 species
AUAAUAUUUUUCGGAGCAACAUCUGUGCGUGAAGCGGGUCAGGGGAGGAAUCCAGCAGCCCUAAGCGAUUUCAGGUGUGUGCUCUUUUUUUGUGUUAAGGAG